UGGAGACCAAUUGUUCAAAUGCUUGCA
rnacentral:piRNA from 1 species